rnacentral:siRNA from 1 species
CUAAUAAUGACAGUUUGGUAC